GGGGUGCUCGAGUGGCGGACGGGUGAGUAACACGUGAGUAACCUGCCCUUGACUUUGGGAUAACUUCAGGAAACUGGGGCUAAUACCGGAUAGGAGCUCCUGCUGCAUGGUGGGGGUUGGAAAGUUUCGGCGGUUGGGGAUGGACUCGCGGCUUAUCAGCUUGUUGGCGGGGUAGUGGCUUACCAAGGCUUUGACGGGUAGCCGGCCUGAGAGGGUGACCGGCCACAUUGGGACUGAGAUACGGCCCAG
rnacentral:rRNA from 1 species